UACGGGAGGCAGCAGUGGGGAAUAUUGCACAAUGGGCGAAAGCCUGAUGCAGCUAUGCCGCGUGUAUGAAGAAGGCCUUAGGGUUGUAAAGUACUUUCAUCGGGGAGGAAAAACAAAACUAAUAAUUUUAUUUCUUGACGUUACCCGAAAAAGAAGCACCGGCUAACUCCGUGCCAGCAGCCGCGGUAAUACGGAGGGUGCUAGCGUUAAUCAGAAUUACUGGGCGUAAAGAGCACGUAGGUGGUUUUUUUAAGUCAGAUGUGAAAUCCCUGGGCUUAACCUAGGAACUGCAUUUUGAAACUGAAAUACUAGAGUAUCGUAGAGGGAGGUAGAAUUCUAGGCGUAGCGGUGAAAUGCGUAGAUAUCUGGAGGAAUACCUGUGGCGAAAGCGGCCUCCUAAACGAAUACUGACACUGAGGUGCGAAAGCGUGGGGAGCAAACAGGGAUUAAUACC
rnacentral:rRNA from 1 species